rnacentral:rRNA from 1 species
GACAGAGGGUGCAAACGUUGUUCGGAAUUACUGGGCGUAAAGCGAGUGUAGGCGGUUCGGUAAGUCGGAUGUGAAAGCCCCGGGCUCAACCCGGGAAGUGCACUCGAUACUGCCGAGCUAGAGUAUCGGAGAGGUUGGUGGAAUUCUCGGUGUAGAGGUGAAAUUCGUAGAUAUCGAGAGGAACACCGGUGGCGAAGGCGGCCAACUGGACGAAUACUGACGCUGAGACUCGAAAGCGUGGGGAGUAAGCAGG